rnacentral:rRNA from 1 species
AGACAGCUCAGUUCAGAUUGUAGGCUGAAACUCGCCUAUAUGAAGUCGGAAUUGCUAGUAAUCGCGGAUCAGCAUGCCGCGGUGAAUACGUUCCCGGGCCUUGUACACACCGCCCGUCACACCAUGAGAGUCGGGAACACCCGAAGUCCGUAGUCUAACCGCAAGGAGGGCGCGGCCGAAGGUGGGCUUGAUAAUUGGGGUGAAGUCGUAACAAGGUAGC